CUAUACCUCAAGCCCGGCUUGUGUGAUGGACUCACUGUCUAAUUGGACAGUAGCCCCAAAGGCAGUGGCAGGGUCGCAGUCCGGUCUUUUAAAUGCGUAUGGGGCAUUGUCACCCGCUUGAAAGCUGGCCGACCCUUUAAGCCUAUUGUGAGAGAAAUCCACAAUUGUUUUAUUAUUUCCU
rnacentral:misc_RNA from 1 species